rnacentral:tRNA from 1 species
GCAAUGGUGGUUUGGUGGUAGAAUUCUCGCCUUAGACACGAAGACCUGGGUUCGAAUCCUGGCCAAGGUA